GGAGAAAUACCCAAGUGGUUGAAGGGGUACCCCUGGAAAGGGUAUAGGUCGAUAGUAUCGGCGCGAGGGUUCGAAUCCCUCUUUCUCCG
rnacentral:tRNA from 1 species